rnacentral:rRNA from 1 species
GAUGAACGCUGGCGGCGUGCCUAAUACAUGCAAGUCGAGCGAACGGACGAGAAGCUUGCUUCUCUGAUGUUAGCGGCUGACGUGUGAGUAACACGUGUAUAACCUACCUAUAAUACUUGUAUAACUUCGUGAAACCGUAUCUAAUACCGGCUAAUAUUUUGAACCGCUUGGUUCAUUAGUGAAAUACUGUCUUGCUUUCACUUAUAGAUUGAUCCGCGCUGCAUUAUCUAGUUGGUAAGGUAACGGCUUACCAAGGCAACGAUGCAUAGACGACCUGAGAGGGGGAUAGGCCACACUGGAACUGAGAAACGGUAAAGACUCCUACGGGAGGAAGCAGUAGGGAAUCUUACGAAAUGGGCGAAAGCAUGACGGAGCAACGCCGAGUGAGUGAUGAAGGUCUUCGGAUCGUAAAACUCUGUUAUUAGGGAAGAAAAUAUGUGUAAGAAAAUGUGCACAUCUUGACGGUAACUAAUAAGAAAGCAACGGCUAACUACGUG